GCGGGUGGCUCAGUGGAAGAGCACUUGCCUAGUAUGCGUGAGGCACUGGGUUCUACCCUCAGUACCACG
rnacentral:tRNA from 1 species